UCACCAGCUGUAGAAGUCCCAUAAAGCUGCCAGAAGGGCAGCACACUUAGGAGAGACUGGGGGAGGAAAGGACUCCCAUAUAGUUGGGGAUGGUACUAGAGGUAACAGGAGGGAGUUCAGUUUUUGAUCCCAACAGGAUACAGCAAGACCCGGAGCCCAGAAGACGGUAUCCCAGAGAGGGUCUCUUUGGGGAGUCCUGUUCUUUUCUUUUGGACUAUUAUUUUAACAAACACCUUUGAAACUAAUCUCUCUCUGUCCGUGUCUGAUCUGUGUAAACGUUUUGACCCAACCCCCUGGUUGCCACAGUAUGUAAACUUCCGACUUCAACUGGGUGUAUAUGUUUGUUUGUCCGACUUCCAAUUAUAUCCUGCCUUGCCCUCAUGAGUUCCAGUACCUUCCUACACUUAAUUUCUAUAUACUCAACAUGCCUUUUCCACGUAAGCCUCUCAUCAAAUCACAUACCUAAAUACUUAAACUCAGACAACCUACCUAUAUCUUGACUGUAUAUUUGCAUUCUAACAUCUUUAACCUUCCUCCUAGGAUAUACCAUGAAGCCAGACUUGGCCACACUUAUAAAACCACACUUCCCUGAGGAGUACCAUCGUCCACUUCAAACCGCAUUGACAAUUCUGACCCUACCCUUACCCAGAUGACUCGAUCAAACAGGAAGUCCAUGAUCCAGUUAUACAGACAUCCCCAAUGCCUAAAUGCGCUCAACUUGAUCUUCAACCCUUCCCUCCACAUGAGACAUGGCUUAUGGACGAUACCCUCGACUCUGCUACUCAAUCAGACUGCUUUUCCAGUUGCUGUAUGGUAAGAUUAGAGGACAGUCAUGACAACAGCCUGACCACAUUUCAAGAUUUUAUCUUCUGACAGUGCAGAUUCACCUCAUAUGAGUGUGUGUGUGGACGGUGUGAAUAUUUCCUUCCUGGUCGAUUCAGGGGCAACCAUUUCUAUUUGAUCAAAAUGUAACAAUUUUAAAAGUUCCAUUGUCAAAAUAUGUAAUAAAGACUGUUGGGGCAUCUGGCAUUCCAAUGGUAGAGAUCCUUACCAAACCC